GCCUUUGUGGCGGAAUUGGUAGACGCGCUAAACUUAGAAUUUAGUUUUUUCGGAUGUAAGAGUUCGAGUCUCUUCAAAGGUA
rnacentral:tRNA from 1 species